UGGGGAAUAUUGGGCAAUGGGGGCAACCCUGACCCAGCAACGCCGCGUGAAGGAAGAAGGCCUUCGGGUUGUAAACUUCUUUGACCAGGGACGAAGGACGUGACUGUACCUGGAAAACAAGCCACGGCUAACUACGUGCCAGCAGCCGCGGUAAUACGUAGGUUGCGAGCGUUGUCCGGAAUUACUGGGGGUAAAGGGCGUGUAGGCGGGAAAGCAAGUCAGAUGUGAAAUACCGGGGCUGAACUCCGGGGCUGCAUCUGAAGCUGUUUUUCUUGAGUGUCGGAGAGGAAAGCGGAAUUCCUAGUGUAGCGGUGAAAUGCGUAGAUAUUAGGAGGAACACCAGUGGCGAAGGCGGCUUUCUGGACGACAACUGACGCUGAGGCGCGAAAGCGUGGGGAGCAAACAGG
rnacentral:rRNA from 1 species